UGAAUAAUCUUGUUUGUAAGAUGCAGCCUGAUAGGAGUGGAGAGCGCAUGCCAGCUAGACUUCUGGUGUCGUCUUGGGUACCACAUGAAAGAAGCACCUCAGAUCUCCUGAAAGGAUGGCGCACCAUCCAAGCAAAUUCAAGCAGCCAAGUCUGAGCUUCAUGAAUGGCGCUUCCAGGAGGCCGUCUAGAUUUAAUUCAUCUAUUAUGGAACGACUGAUUCUUCUUGGAGUUCAAAGCCAUCUCAACCGCCUCCUCCAGCACCACAAUUCUAAGGCAUCCAUUUCUCUUUCUGAAACCUUCCUGACUAUCCGGCUUUUGCAUCCAUGUUACAAGACAGAGGAUUAUGCCCACGACAGAGCAUUCUCUGGAGACGUGGCAGCGGCAGAGACCAUGGGAUUUCCCCUCCCGUGAUGUGUGUCUGGAACUGCUGGGUGUCCACGUGGGAUCGGUCUUUUUAUACUCAGAGGGAGGGGCCUUAAGGUAAGGUGGGGCUAUGAGGAUGAUAGGUUGUGUGGUUGGGUUAACCCUUGCAGGGUAGUGGGGAAUGGGGACACAGACAAGUUAGACAUUUCACCUGACAACCUUGGAGGUCUUCUAGUCCAGCCCCCUGAAAGCCCAGUUAAAAAAUGGCUUUUGGCACGGCUAGUCUAGGGAAGAGAAGGACCAGGGGAGACAGGAGAGCAUCUUCCAAUACUUGAGGGGCUGCCCCAGAGAGGAGGGGGCGAGCUAUU